rnacentral:lncRNA from 1 species
UCCAGCUCCCUCGUCCUGGGCGCAUCUCCUGCCUUCUUUACCUGGAUGCUGUCUCCUCUAGCGAGUGCGCCCUACCGCACUCCUCCGCCACCCAGGCUGGGCUCCCCGCUCACCUUCGUCUUUGCUCUGACCGUGGAAUUAGGUAUCUUGCUGUGAAAUCAGUGUGACCUCAAACAGCUCACUUCUCCUCUUUGAAUGUCGAUUUCUUCUCAGGACAGAUAAGGGCGUUAGACUCAAAGAUCUCCUGGGUCCCUCCAGCCCGAGAGUUCUGUGACUCUCACUUGAUGCUUUCGGAGCACUGACUCCGCCCGCUCCCUCCUGGACUCUCUCCUGCCCCGCCUGCCAUCAUCCACGCUCUCCUGGUGCUCCUCCUCCUCAUCCUGCCUCCUUCUCUUGGUCUUCCUCCCAGGCUCUUCUUAAAUGUUGGAAUCCUCCAGGGUUUAUCCUUGGACCUCUGAUGCUGGAACUGCCCGCCCCUCCUAGCUGUAGCAGCUGCCUGCCUGCUAAUGACACCACAUCGGCCUGUCUCUACCCCAGCUUCUCUGCUCCUGGCCUCUGGGGAGCAUAUCGAAUGGCUACUGGAUGUUGGUACAUGGACGUCCACGGGCACAUCCAACUUCCCGUGUCCAACGGGACUCCUCUCCUCCAUCAGCCCAGGUGCUGUCCUUUUCCUAGUUUCCUUAUUUAAGUGAAAAGCACCAGCACUUAUUUAAAUCUCCAAAUAACUCUGAGGCGUUACUUUCCCAUCACAUAGAAUCUAUGUGCUAGAGAUGAAAAAACUGAAGCUUAGCGAAGUUCAGGAACACAUCUAAGGCUACACAGCUGGUGAGAGGUGGAGUCCAGAUUUAAACUCAGUAUCUCUGACUCCGAGGCUAGAGCUCUCCCCACUGCCCUACACCACUCCAGGCCCAAGCCCGAAACCGGGGGGUGUCCUCCUUCCUCCACCUCGCCGCUCGUGCCCAACGCAACGCCGGGGCUGCAGACUCAGUGGCUCUCAGGUCAGCUCCUCCUCAAACGUGUGCCCCUGGCUGUUCAUUCACCCCUCACCUUCUUCUGGGACAGCCGUCUCCCAGCCGGUCUCUGGUCUUCCUCUCUGCAAGCCAUGCGAUACAUUUAGAAAAAGUGCUGUCCCCACAAAGAGAUCACGCCGCUCUCUUACCUGAAACUCUUCAGUGGCAACGACGGCUUUCGCGACAAGAGCAGCCUUUCCACUUAGCAACAGGCCUCUAUCUGCUUCUCUAGCGUUACAGUCGAUCUUCUUUAUUCAUGGAUUUCGUAUUUGUGAAUUUGCCUACAUGCUAACAUUUAUUUGUACCCCAAAUCAACACUCGCGGUGCUUUCCCAGUAUCCACAGACGGGAGCAGAGAGGGGCAGAAAUCUGACUCGCCGAACAUGCGCUUCCCAGCCAGGGCUGAACAAGGGCACGCUCUGCUUUCCACUUCAGCUCUCGUACUGUAGCAAGUAUCCUUUUCAUCGUCUACUUAGUGCCACGUUUUUCAUAUUUUUGUGCUUUUUGUUGAUGAUUUUGAUCUUUAAAUGGCCCUCAAAGCAUAGGUGCUGAAGUGCUGGCUAGUGUUCCUAAAGGCGAGAAAGCUGUGAUGUGCCUUCUGGAGAAAAUACGCGUGUUAGCUGCGCUUUGGUCAGGAACGGGUCACAGUACUGUCAGCCGUGGCUCAGUGUUAAUGAAUCAACAUACAGUACAUCCAGAAAAAGGAAGAGGAAAUUCGCCAAUCUGAACGCGAGGCCACUGCAGAAAGUGCUAGAGCAACGUCUGUUGUGUGUGGAGAAGCCAUGGAGAAGAUGGAAAAGCGGCUGUAUUUCCGGAUUCAGGAGAUGACGACUGAUUAAAAACAGCAUAGUGGGCAAUGUUGUUGUGAGAAAACCCGAAGAGAUUUAUGGCCAGGUAAACGUUAAACCCUUCUCAGCUAGUGCUGGCUGACUCGCACAUUUCAAAAGGUGAAAUGCCGUGAAAAACGUUGAACCUGCUGGUGAGGAAGGUUCUGCAGAUCCGGAGGCUGUGGAGGAUUUUGGAAACAGCUGGUGAGUGCUGUGCAGGAAAGGUGUGGGGUGGCACAGCAGGCGCGCCGUGCUGACAGGACAGGCUUGUUUUACACGGAUCUUGGUAAACGAACCUGUAUCACACACAUGGGGUUUUGGUUGACAAAAAUGUUGUGACUGGAGGCUCCCAGGAACCUAACCUGUGUGUCCCCUACGAGCAAUAGUUCAGUGUCACUAAUUCAGUGUUUGCAGCAAGUCCACAGAACAUAACUCCUGCAGAUAACGAGAAGUGACUGCGCUCCCCACUGUUCGUGCCGUGUGGGCUCCGGUCCCACUGAGCGACUUGUAGUUGCCUGGGGUGCCCACUCCUCUCCACCUGGGCACCUAGGUUCAUCCUUAACCCUCAACCCCAGUUAUCCCCAGGAAGCCUCUCUGGACCCACUCCUAGAGAGACUGGGACGUUCCUCUUCCACUCCUGUUAGCACACCGUGCGCACACCUCCAUCUCAGCACCCAUCGUGGCAGCAUCAUUGUUCAUAUAUUUGUCUGUCUCCCCGCCAGUCUCUAAGCUGCUUGCGGGCAAGGUCCAUUAAAUAUGUGUAGUAUGUGUGUGCGCGCACACACACACCUGUGCACAUCGGGGGGCAAAAACCAAGAGUCCAAGGUAAUUUUUACCUCACACUUCUAUUUUAUUUUUAAAAUAAACACACAGUACCAUGCUGUAUUUGAUUGAGUCUAUGUUUCUGUGUUCUAGUGCUUAGCACAGAACCUGGCCCACAGAGAGGAUCAGUAAAUAUUUGUUGAAAAAUAAAAGCAUAAAGGUUAACAAUAUUUAUCCAUUCUAGGCAAUUGAAGUUCCUGGGGUCAUAAAUGUUUAAUAAAUAACUAUUAUUAUAAUAAAUAACUAAUAAACUUUUAUAAUAAAAUAGUUUUAAAUUAACAAAUUAAUAGCUUGUUCUUUGAAAUCUUUUGAAUAAUUCCUCUGCACCUUCUCUUUUUGAGUUAUCUAUAAUAAAAUUUUGCUGAGCAGAAUAAACUUUAGCUUAGUCCAAAUGGGAUAAUUAGAAAUUUGGAACAAGUGGCCUGCCUUAAUGAGUUUUUACUGUGCUCAGUGUAAUUCUAGAAUUUUAGUACCAGAGAGAUCUUAAUUUACACGUGUUAAUUGGGCUCUUCCAGGUUAGCUAAGGAGACAGGAAGGGAAAGAAUGGAAACAGCCUCACCAGGCUGUGUGGGGCCUGAAGGGAGGGGCAUUUGUGGUCAGCCCUGGGUCCCGUGUUGGACGGCAGCUCUGUGAGUCAAUAACCGGCUGUCUCCUCGAGAUCGGGCAUUUGCUCCUCCAGGAGCUGGGGCUGCAGUUUGGAGACUGGGCUGCUCCAGCCUCUGCUUGGUCAUGGUUUGUCCUGACUCAUCACUUCUACCCUCUGCUCUCUGCCUACCUGUGCUUCUGCCCAGAAAAGCAAGUGCUGAUGGUCUCUACAGGUCUCGAAUUCAAAUCCCCACAAAGAAAGUAUCCAAUUGCUUCAGAUAGUUGCUGUCCUCCCUGCUGGGCAGAGAGCUCUCACCAGACCACCUCCUAAAAUGGGGGUCACCCUGUAAAUGAGCUGCCCUUGGGGCCAGCACCUACUCCUUGAGCCGGGAGGGCGAGAAGAACUGCUCUCUCAGAGGGCCUGAGGGCAUGAGAUGGGCCAGUCACGCCACUGCGGAGCUCCUCUCUGAGUCACAGAGGCAGAAGCUGAAGUCUGGAAAGCCAGGUGGAUCAUUCCAAGGAGGGUCCUUUCAAAGUCUUCUAUGAUCUAGGUUUCCGAAGCACAGCGUCUCCCUGAUUUUGAGAAGAGCUGCCUAUUUGGCUUGUUCCUUUUGACCUGCUCUAAAUGUCUGGGUUAAGCCUGCAAGGAUUAACAGACACAUCUCAUUGAUGGAAUGUCUAAACAUAUUGCCAGUGGAUCUUUUAUCAGAAUUACUUAUGAUACUUCGAAAUUACUAUGAUACUUUGAAAAUUAAGGAUGUCUGAUAUCACUGGGACACUGAAUAAGUGGGCCCACAAAAUAUUGCUUAUUUUCAUGUGUUUUUCUUAAUCGAAAUAAAUAAGUUGCCGCUUUAAAAAUAAGUAUGUAACACUGCAAGAAAAACUGGUAUAAAGCUUACCAGAAGUGGCUGUCACUUAGAAGCUAUUAGUAUUGUUUUGUUUUAGAAGCUGAAGCAAAGCCCUAUGGAAAGUAAUAUUUAUUCAGUUGAUGUUUGUUGAGAACCAGCUAUGCACCGACACUGUGCUGAGCCCUGGGGCACAGCAGUGAGCAUGACAGACACUCCCUGCUCUCAUGGAACUUAGUACAUGUUCCAUCAACCUGGUUUCCUAUUUUCUUGGAACAAUGACAAGUAGGCACGGGGUGGAGUGAGGGGCGAUAGUAAGUCCUACAGUCCUGAACUGAAGUUUUCUAAUUAAAAUACAAAAGAAAGAACUUAAGCAACCAAAUUAGCAAUUUGGGCAUUGAAAAUGGCACUUUAACUGCAACUUUAGGCAAGCUGUGAGUCCGAAUAAUGCCAUGAUGCUAUUUGUAACAGUUAACGGUCUCGUUAUCCGUUAAGCUUUCUUUCUUUUCCCUCUCCUCCACUCUCGUUUCUCCUAAAAGGAAAAAGAAACCCUCAACAAACAAUGGACAUCGUAAUUAUUGGGUUGAUUUUAGACUCUCGUGAACCCAGUGAUGUAUGAUGAGACCUCAGGCCCUACAGCCCUGAGUGGUCGCCAGUUUCCGUGACGAAGGACUCAUUAUUGCCUCAGCCAGCGUCCAUCCGAGUUACCCCGCCCCACGCCAGUGUUAGAGACUGUCUACCUCCAGCUCUGAUGUGCUUUUUCUGCAGCCAAGUCAUCGCAGCUCACAAAGCAGUUCCUUUAAAGCAGUUCCAUUAAAACCCCGGAAGCACAGGCCCAGGAACGGGGGACUCUUUCCUGUUGUCACUCUCAGCACCAGGGAGGGCAAGCUGCCAGCAGGGGGGUCUCAGCAGCAGAUUUCUGGAAAGCACGUCAAAUGUAGCUUGACAUUUACCACUCAUCCUCUAGAACUGGGAAAGGCCUGGAUUCCUGGGAG